ensembl:lincRNA Gm38102 predicted gene, 38102
AGGAGGUGAUAAGGGGCCAAAGAAAGGAGAGAGAGAGAGAGAGGUGGAAAAGACCUGAAGUAGAGAGCAAGCCACAAGUUGGUCCCGGUCACUUCCAUCUUCCCCUUUCAAGCACCACGUCACAGCUUAGCGCCUAAUUGCUCCCUAAAGCCUGUAGCCCUCCAGGGUACAGCUGACACAGCGCGACUUAAAUCAAUUAGUGGGAGGCUGGAGGAGAUAAAGACCCCAGCCAGAUCCAAGGACUCUAACCAGAGCCUUUAGGGUUGAUCAGUUGUGUUCCAAGGCUUACCAGGUAUCUAAAGUAUGAACGAGACCAACCUAGCAAAGCGCUCUUCUCCCCGCCCCCCUUCUCAAUAGGGGUGAGGAGUUCAGCCUUCCCAGCAGAAAGCCAGCUCAUCGACGGACUUGAUGCCUGGCCCUCUGCACCAGCGGGAGCCACGGGACCAUUGUGGAGCCUUGCUAUACCAGACAGCUCUCUCUGGCAGUGAUAAAGGCAGACAGCUGGCACGGGAGGGAGCCUAAAAUAACCCAGACAGCUGGGCAAGGGGGUGUCACGGGCCCAGGUUCUGGGCUGAAAAUCAAGACACCUGGAACCCUGUCCAGGCUCUGCUCCGUGGUGGCCUCAUAACCUUGGGUGAGACAUUUCUUCUCUUGGGGCUAUUGGUGGGUGGCCCUUAAAUCCCGACCCAACCACAGGACAGCCUACGGAGCCCCGGGAACAGCCUGGACUCAAACACUAGAAGAAAAACAGGGCUGGCUGCCUUCCCAAGCAAAGCCAGUUUUCUUUCUCCUUUGCCUGGAGGCUCCAGCACGUGCUUCAGGAAGUGGGCUGGAGGGGAGGAGCCCUGGAGACAGCCCAGCCCCCACCGGCGCAGGCAGCAACCACUCCCAGCAACAAUCCUUAUCACAAUGGAGGCCAACUGGUUGUGAGGUCAGAGCAGGAGUCUGGCCCUCUUAAUCUCACUUAAUCCUCCCACCAACCUUUUCCAGCAGGUAUUGUGGUCUUUUUAACCCGGGGAGGGGGAAGAGAGGCAAUGGUCCAAGGUCACUAGCUAGGUCCACAUCUAACCUACAGCUGCCAGACUAGAAGCACCCUGAUUAGGCACCAAUCUGCCUCCAGCAACAACUCAGGGAAGCCUUCCAGGCUCCCCGACUCACACGUCAGCACUCACUGUAGGGGUGAGGAGAAAAGAGAAGACUAGAGGCUGGAAGCUGAGGCCCAAAUAGGGGAAGCCAGCAGGAGCCGCGGCACCUGAGGCCAAAUGGCUUAUCAAAGUAACAAAACGAGAAACACACUAGGGGGCCAGGGGUCAGGGAUCAAGGGCCACACCAGUUUCAGCAGCAAAGCUUCCUGCCUAGGAGGAGGGCAAGCCAACUGCUAGCCACCAAGCUGGGUGACAUCCCAGGUGCCACCUACUAGAGAGAGUCUAGAAACUUGGUGCUACCUGGAACCUUGUAAGAAGAGCAAGUUCUUAGAUGUAACUGCCUAAGAGGGAAACUCGAGAAAUGGGCACAGUCGGGUUUAAUGGGUCCAACCACUGACUUCUGAUGCCGGUGCAGCUGGGGAGACCCUGCUCAGAGACUAAGCACAGACCUCAUUGACUCUGUAAGAUCACUACAGACAGGUGAAGGGCCAGCCUCCGUUUGUGUCACGUUCUAGAAGCCAGGCUACCGACACCUGGCCUUGUUGAGAGCUCGGAUCCAGGAAAAGGAGAAGCCAAGGAAAUCUUUUCUCUCGGGAAGCUGGCUACCACUUCACAUCUUUUGCUUCUUUGUCUAUCCAGCAAGGCAGACAUCAGAAGGGGGCUCAGCUGGUCCCCCUAAUGGGGUUCAGGAACAAUGUCUGAAGCACCACUGGGAAACCUGGCAGCAGUCACCGUCUUCAGAAGUUUCCAGGGCCCUCCCAGCCACCAUAAACCACACCACUGGGAAAUA